rnacentral:rRNA from 1 species
GACGAACGCUGGCGGCGUGCUUAACACAUGCAAGUCGAACGAAGUGGCGAACGGGUGAGUAACGCGUAAUCAACCUGCCCUUCAGAGGGGGACAACAGUUGGAAACGACUGCUAAUACCGCAUACUGAAGGAGGGGAUUGCGUCUGAUUGGCUAGUUGGGGGGGUAACGGCCCACCAAGGCGAUGAUCAGUAGGCGGUCUGAGGGGGUGGACGGCCAAAUUGGGACUGGGACACGGCCCAGACUCCUACGGGGGGCAGCAGGGGGGAAUUUUCCGCAAUGGACGAAAGUCUGACGGAGCAACGCCGCGGGAGUGAUGACGGCCUUCGGGUUGUAAAGCUCUGUUAAGCGGGACGCGGUACCAGAAUAGAAAGCCACGGCUAACUACGUGCCAGCCGCCGCGGUAAUUC